CACGCCGUAAACGGUGGGUACUAGGUGUGGGGGACUUCCACGUUCUCCGUGCCGCAGCUAACGCAUUAAGUACCCCGCCUGGGGAGUACGGCCGCAAGGCUAAAACUCAAAGGAAUUGACGGGGCCCCGCACAAGCGGCGGAGCAUGCGGAUUAAUUCGAUGCAACGCGAAGAACCUUACCUGGGUUUGACAUAUGCCGGAAACAUCUAGAGAUAGAUGCCCCUUUAUGGUCGGUUUACAGGUGG
rnacentral:rRNA from 1 species